GGCCCGGUAGCGGAUGGUCCGCACCUGCACCCGCAUAUCCUGUAGGAGGCGCUCGUUCGAUUCGAGCCUAGGCCA